rnacentral:rRNA from 1 species
UACGUAGGGCGCAAGCGUUGUCCGGAAUUAUUGGGCGUAAAGAGCUCGUAGGCGGCUUGUCACGUCGGAUGUGAAAGCCCGAGGCUUAACCUCGGGUCUGCAUUCGAUACGGGCUAGCUAGAGUGUGGUAGGGGAGAUCGAAUUCCUGGUGUAGCGGUGAAAUGCGCAGAUAUCAGGAGGAACACCGGUGGCGAAGGCGGAUCUCUGGGCCAUUACUGACGCUGAGGAGCGAAAGUGUGGGGAGCGAACAGG